CUGGCCCAAAUACAUUGGGCUGUAAAAAUCCAAGGCCCAACAAAAUGGUCAAAUUCUUGCUUUGGAAAAACCGAAUAUUCAAAAUAAAGUGGUUUUGGGCAUAGUAGCUGAUCAGCACCCCCAAUCUCUAAUGAGUCAAUAGAUUUAAAUCACCGGCUGAGCUCCCCAAUCCAGAGAAUGGAAGUAGUUGGGCGUUGCAUUGAUCUUCCCUAUAAGAGGUUGUGUUGAUGAAGUGAAAGUACAGAGCAAUGACAUUUUCAAUGAAGGCAGCUGUAUCGUGCAGGUCCUUGCGUGCUUCUUUUCUCUCCUGAGCUUAGGUGAGGAUUUGGUGAGGGAGCCCAACUG
rnacentral:lncRNA from 1 species